GUGGGUAUAGCUCAAUGGCAGAGCACUUGCUUAGCAUGCACAAGAUCCUGGGUUCAAUCCCCAUUACCUCCA
rnacentral:tRNA from 1 species